AGGACGAACGCUGGCGGCGUGCUUAACACAUGCAAGUCGAACGGAAAGGCCCGCUUGCGGGUACUCGAGUGGCGAACGGGUGAGUAACACGUGGGCAACUUGCCCCUAGCUCUGGGAUAACUCUUCGAAAGGGGAGCUAAUACCGGAUGGUGACCUUCCUUGGCAUCUUGGUUGGUUGAAAGUUUUUCGGCUAGGGAUGGGCCCGCGGCCUAUCAGCUUGUUGGUGGGGUAAUGGCCUACCAAGGCGACGACGGGUA
rnacentral:rRNA from 1 species